GGACGAACGCUGGCGGCGUGCCUAACACAUGCAAGUCGAACGGAGAUAUGAUUUCGGUUGUAUCUUAGUGGCGAACGGGUGAGUAACGCGUGAGCAACCUGACCUUCAGAGGGGGAUAACACCUGGAAACAAGUGCUAAUACCGCAUAAGACCACGACCCGACAUCGGGAUGAGGUCAAAGGAGCAAUCCGCUGAGGGAGGGGCUCGCGUCCCAUUAGAUAGAUGGCGGGGUAACGGCCCACCAUGUCGACGAUGGGUAGCCGAGCUGAGAGGCUGAUCGGCCACACUGGAACUGAGACACGGUCCAGACUCCUACGGGAGGCAGCAGUGGGGAAUAUUAGAAAUGGACGAAAGUCUGAUCUAGCAACACCGCGUGUGCGAAGAAGGCCUUCGGGUCGUAAAGCACUUUUUGGAAGGAAUAGGAAGGAAUGUACUUCCAGAAUAAGUCUCGGCUAACUACGUGCCAGCAGCCGCGGUAACACGUAGGAGGCAAACGUUAUCCGGAUUUACUGGGCGUAAAGCGCGUGUAGGUGGUUCUGUAAGUAGGGCGUGAAAGCUCCCGGCUCAACUGGGAGAGGCCGUUCUAAACUACAGAACUAGAGGAUGGUAGAGGGAGGUGGAAUUCCAGGUGUAGCGGUGGAAUGCGCAGAUAUCUGGAGGAACACCAGUGGCGAAGGCGGCCUCCUGGACCAUUCCUGACACUCAGACGCGAAAGCUAGGGUAGCAAACGGGAUUAGAGACCCCGGUAGUCCUAGCCCUAAACGAUGUAGACUAGGCGUCGGUAGUUUAAUCACCAUCGGUGUCCAAGCUAACGCGAUAAGUCUACCGCCUGGGGACUACGGCCGCAAGGUUAAAACUCAAAGGAAUUGACGGGUCCCCGCACAAGCAGCGGAGCGUGUGGUUUAAUUCGUUGCUACACGAAGAACCUUACCUGGGUUUGACAUAGAGGUAGUAGGGAAGCGAAAGCGGACCGACCCUUCGGGGAGCCUCUACAGGUGUUGCAUGGCUGUCGUCAGCUCGUGUCGUGAGAUGUUCGGUUAAGUCCGCUAACGAGCGCAACCCUCGCUGUGUGUUACAAGUGUCACACGGUACUGCCGAUAUUAAGUCGGAGGAAGGUGGGGAUGACGUCAAGUCAGCAUGACCUUUAUAUCCAGGGCUACACACACGCUACAAUGGCCAGUACAAUGGGUUGCCAAGCCGCGAGGCGGAGCCAAUCCUAAAAAGCUGACCUCAGUUCAGAUUGCAGUCUGCAACUCGACUGCAUGAAGUUGGAGUUGCUAGUAACCGCAGGUCAGCAAUACUGCGGUGAAUACGUUCCCGGGGAU
rnacentral:rRNA from 1 species